CCGAACCGACUAAUGUUGAAAAAUUAGCGGAUGACCUGUGGCUGGGGGUGAAAGGCCAAUCAAACCGGGAGAUAGCUGGUUCUCCCCGAAAGCUAUUUAGGUAGCGCCUCGUGAAUUCAUCUCCGGGGGUAGAGCACUGUUUCGGCUAGGGGGCCAUCCCGGCUUACCAACCCGAUGCAAACUGCGAAUACCGGAGAAUGUUAUCACGGGAGACACACGGCGGGUGCUAACGUCCGUCGUGAAGAGGGAAACAACCCAGACCGCCAGCUAAGGUCCCAAAGUCAUGGUUAAGUGGGAAACGAUGUGGGAAGGCCCAGACAGCCAGGAUGUUGGCUUAGAAGCAGCCAUCAUUUAAAGAAAGCGUAAUAGCUCACUGGUCGAGUCGGCCUGCGCGGAAGAUGUAACGGGGCUAAACCAUGCACCGAAGCUGCGGCAGCGACACUGUGUGUUGUUGGGUAGGGGAGCGUUCUGUAAGCCUGUGAAGGUGUGUCGUGAGGCAUGCUGGAGGUAUCAGAAGUGCGAA
rnacentral:rRNA from 1 species